UACACACUCAGACACACACUCAGACACACACACACUCAGACACACACACACACACACACACACACACACACACACACACACACACACACACUCAGACUUACAGCACGUUAAAUAGAUCAUAAACAGAAAUGAACAGUAAACUAAAUGUUUUAAAGGAAUCUAUACAUUUCAAAUGUGGUUUAACAAUGUGCAAAUAGUUGAGGUACGGAAGGGAAAAAUAAUUAAAUAUAAAUAUAGGUUGUUGAUGCUCCACUCGUUGCCCUGUUGUCAUGGCAACGGGCCACAAAUAAUGCUGCUGUGAUUGGACGCUGGUACUUUACUUAAAACGCUGAACUGAAAUAUAAAAUGACAACAUGUAACGUGUUUGGUUUUCACGAGCUGAAAUUUUAAAGAUCCCAGAAAUGUUUCCGUAUUCACAAAUGAGUUUACGUCCCUGUUAGUGAGCGUUUCUCCUUUUGCCAUGAUAAUUGGUUAAAUAGCAUGAUCAUUACACAGGUGCAGCUUGUGCUGGGGGACAAUAAAAGGCCCAGAGAUGUUUCAUGUUUUAAUGUUGACUGAAGGAAUGUCCACCAGAGCUGUUGCCAGAGAAUUUGAAUGUUCAUUUCUCUACCAUAAGCCGCCUCCAACAUCGUUUUUGAGAAUAUGGUUGUAUAACUGACUAGGUACCCCCCUUUCAGUCUAGUACAUUCAGGUUGUAUAACUUGACUAGGUACCCCCCUUUCAGUCUAAACAUUCAGGUUGUAUAACUGACUAGGUACCCCCCUUUCAGUCUAACACAUUCAGGUUGUAUAACUGACUAGGUACCCCUAGGUAAUGACAUUUUGUUCAGUAUAGAUAUGAUAGUUUGUCAAUGUUGGAUUUGUUUUCAUCAUCUUUGUGGGUCUGAGGGAAAUAUGUCUCUCAUACAUUGGGCAGGAGGUUAGGAAGUGCAGCUCAGUUUCCACCUCAUUUUGUGGGCAGUGAGCACAUAGCCUGUCUUCUCUUGAGAGCCAUGUCUGCCUACGGCGGCCUUUCUCAAUAGCAAGGCUUUGCUCACUGAGUCUGUUCUUUAUUUUGGGUCAGCGUGUCUCUCUGUGUCUGUCGUCUCCACCUGGUCCUCCUCAGUAAUACUGUUUAUUCUGUCUAUGAUGGACACACUCUCUCUCUGUCUGUCUCUCUGUCUCUCUCUCUGUCUCUCUCUCUGUCUCUCUGUCUGUCUCUCUCUCUGUCUCUCUCUCUGUCUCUCUCUCUGUCUCUCUCUCUGUCUCUCUCUCUG
ensembl:lncRNA